AAAUGUAACCUGGAAUAAUUUAGCUAUCCCAGACACCCACUGUUCCAGAGAGCUAGAAGAAGGUUACCAGUGCCCACCUGGAUUUAAAUGCAUGGACCUUGAAGAUCUGGGACUAAGCAGGCACAAGCAUAUUUACUGUUUACGAAGCUGCUUCUCAGGAAGGUUGGGUGUUCCUCAUGUACCGAGCAAUCGACAGCUUUCCCCGAUGGCGUUCAUAUUUCUAUUUCAUCACCUUAAUUUUCUUUCUGGCCUGGCUUGUUAAGAAUGUUUUCAUUGCAGUCAUCAUUGAAACAUUUGCAGAAAUUAGAGUGCAGUUCCAGCAGAUGUGGGGGUCCAGGAGCAGUACUACUUCCACUGCCACCACCCAGAUGUUUCAUGAAG